UACGUAGGGUGCUAACGUUGUUCGGAAUUAUUGGGCGUAAAGCGCGUGUAGGUUGCCAAGUAAGUUGAAUGUGAAAGCCCUCGGCUUAACCGAGGAAGUGCAUUCAAAACUGCUCGGCUAGAGGAUGGUAGAGGAAGGUGGAAUUCCUAGUGUAGAGGUGAAAUUCGUAGAUAUUAGGAGGAAUACCUGUGGCGAAGGCGGCCUUCUGGGCCAUUCCUGACACUGAGACGCGAAAGCGUGGGUAGCAAACAGG
rnacentral:rRNA from 1 species